UGGGGAAUUUUGGACAAUGGGGGAAACCCUGAUCCAGCCAUCCCGCGUGUGCGAUGAAGGCCUUCGGGUUGUAAAGCACUUUUGGCAGGAAAGAAACGUCAUGGGUUAAUACCCCGUGAAACUGACGGUACCUGCAGAAUAAGCACCGGCUAACUACGUGCCAGCAGCCGCGGUAAUACGUAGGGUGCAAGCGUUAAUCGGAAUUACUGGGCGUAAAGCGUGCGCAGGCGGUUCGGAAAGAAAGAUGUGAAAGCACAGAGCUCAACUUUGGAACUGCAUUUUUAACUACCGGGCUAGAGUGUGUCAGAGGGAGGUGUAAUUCCGAGUGUAGCAGUGAAAUGCGUAGAUAUGCGGAGGAACACCGAAGGCGAAGGCAGCCUCCUGGGAUAACACUGACGCUCAUGCACGAAAGCGUGGGGAGCAAACAGG
rnacentral:rRNA from 1 species